rnacentral:lncRNA from 1 species
GAAGAUUAACGAUUUAUGUGCUAUGUUUCUUUCCCCUUUUUUCUCCGUCUCCCUUUAUUGAAACAAAAAGGAUCCUCAUGUAAAAAUAUCCUGGGCAUUUUAUUGUUGGUAGUCUGUGGAAAAUUACUUUGUAGCUUAGUCUGCUGUAAAUUUUGUAUCUUGUUCACCGUUGAUUUUGUCUAGCUGCUCCAGCGCAAUAAUGUGGUGCAUAAUUGCAUUAUCAUUGCCAUUUUUAGUGAAAUGAUUUGUGAUACGUUUAGGGCAUAAAUAGAUGUGCAGGUGUUCUUAGCAUGAUGUUCUAGUAAUAAUUAUUUUUGCUUUAAGAGCUUUUUUUAUAUUGUUGGAAAAUACGGAUAAUGCGUCCCAUGUGGGGUGAUCCGACUCGCAAGAUUUUAUAAGGGUUGAAGGAAGUGGUUUGAAUUUAGAAUUCAAAUCUAUAACUCCCAAAUAACUACUUAAAACUCUAUAUAGAAGUUGUGGAAAAAGGAACAAUAAGGUGGUAUGAAAAAUAUAGUGAAAAUUCGUAUAUGAAUUCACACCAAAAUUGAAAAGACCUUAGAAUCACAUUUUUGGCAUGAAAUCUCACAAGAAAUGACACUUAGAUUGUGGAUAGUAAUACCCUUCUAUUAUGAUCGGGAUUUGGACCACUGGAGUACAAUAAAAUGCAGAUUUUGAAGAUUUGAAGGCAAUGUGAUUCAACUACACAAAGAUCUUGAAAUUCAUCAUUUCAAG